GGAAGUAAAAGUCGUAACAAGGUCUCCGUAGGUGAACCUGCGGAGGGAUCAUUACACAAAUAUGAAGGCGGGCUGGAACCUCUCGGGGUUACAGCCUUGCUGAAUUAUUCACCCUUGUCUUUUGCGUACUUCUUGUUUCCUUGGUGGGUUCGCCCACCACUAGGACAAACAUAAACCUUUUGUAAUUGCAAUCAGCGUCAGUAACAAAUUAAUAAUUACAACUUUCAACAACGGAUCUCUUGGUUCUGGCAUCGAUGAAGAACGCAGCGAAAUGCGAUAAGUAGUGUGAAUUGCAGAAUUCAGUGAAUCAUCGAAUCUUUGAACGCACAUUGCGCCCUUUGGUAUUCCAAAGGGCAUGCCUGUUCGAGCGUCAUUUGUACCCUCAAGCUUUGCUUGGUGUUGGGCGUCUUGUCUCUAGCUUUGCUGGAGACUCGCCUUAAAGUAAUUGGCAGCCGGCCUACUGGUUUCGGAGCGCAGCACAAGUCGCACUCUCUAUCAGCAAAGGUCUAGCAUCCAUUAAGCCUUUUUUUUCAACUUUUGACCUCGGAUCAGGUAGGGAUACCCGCUGAACUUAAGCAUAUCAAUAAGCGGAGGAA
rnacentral:rRNA from 1 species